CUCAGCUCUUAAUAAAGCUGGAAAAGGGUGGGAUUUUAAGGAGGAUCUGGCGCUGUUCUACCGCUGUCAGGGAGCUUAGGCAGGUUAAUCACAAGAGCAGCUGGGCAUCGCCUGGCCUUCACCCAUCAAGACAUCCACUCCUCACCCCACCACUGCGGGCUGCCAGGGAACUUCUUUUAUCCAUCUUUGAUGGGAGGAAACUGAGGCCCAGUCACACAGCUCCGAAUUGGCAAAGGUUUUCUCUGAAUCAGAGAAGGCCAGCACGUGCCAAUUUAGUAAUCAGAAAAAAAAGUGCGAAGGAGUGAAUCACCGGGCCUGGUGUGAGGAAGUCCUGACCACAAAGCAAAUUUGGAGAGACAGCAGUGAGCAACAGCUGGAAGCGAGACUGAGAUCGAAUGCGGGUUGCGGUGACAUAGACUCCGGGAGCUGGUGAUGGACAGGGAGGCCUGGUGUGCUGUGGUCCAUGGAGUCGCAAAGAGUUGGACAUGACUGAGCGACCGAACUGAUGAGACAGACAUAAAACAGCUUGCUAAAACUAGCUGGG